CAUGGAGGGUGAGAAUCCCGUCCGGUUGAUCAUUGCGUUUUAUGAUACGCUUUCUAAGAGUCAAGUUGUUUGGGAUUGCAGCUUAAAAUGGGAGGUAAAUUUCUCCUAAGGCUAAAUAACGGCGAGAGACCGAUAGCGAACAAGUACCGUGAGGGAAAGAUGAAAAGAACUUUGAAAAGAGAGUUAAACAGUACGUGAAAUUGUUGAAAGGGAAACGAUUGAAGCCAGUCGUACCUAUGGGUAAUCAGCCUUUUGGGUGUGAUUUUGUGGAGCGUGGGGAGUUAAACGCCUUCAUGCCUGCAUAUUCGUGCACUUUGGGUGUACUUGCCCGUGUGUAAGUUAACAUCAAUUUUGGUGGUUAUAAAAUGGCUGGAGGAAUGUAGCUUCGAUCUUGUAUUGAAGUGUUAUAGCCUUCGGUAGAUGUGACGAUCGGGAUUGAGGAUUGCAACGGAUACCCUUCGGGGCUACCUGUCUGAUCUCUGAUUGUUGCUCUGGUGCCGAAAGCUUGCUUACGGUUAUCAAAGUCGAUGGUCAAUAGGUUAGAACGGGUUAAAUUCGUUAAGGAUGUUGACGUAAUGG
rnacentral:rRNA from 1 species